ensembl:rRNA 5S_rRNA 5S ribosomal RNA
CUUUACAGCCAUACCACCCUGAACGGGCCUGAUCGCAUCUGAUCUCGGAAGCUAAGCAGAGUCGGGCCUGGUUAGUACUUAGAUGGGAGACCACCUGAGAAUACUGGGUGCUGUAGGCU